AUAUAACAAUAUUGUUACAACUUUGUGUCGUCAACCUUGUAACAUUCUUGUUAUAUCAUGACUGUAUCGGACUUGUUAGAACAAUCUUUUGACAAGUCUGAUAAUGUCAUCAAGCUUGUUACAAGUUGUUAACAGCUUGUUCCAACCUUGUUACAACAACUGGGAACAAGCAGUGCGAACACAACUUAUUGACAGCUUGUGAACAGAUUUGUAACAACUUGUUUGCAGACCUGUAACAACUUGUGCGUUUUUACGUGUGUACAUAUUGCAAGAAUCGACAGGACUUUCACAAGGCGGUUGUGGGAAGGGGUCUAGGAAGACUGAAAUCAUCCAUAUUAACUAUAGUGUAUGUUGAUUAGAUAACAACACAACUGAGCUCUGGAACAAAUUAUAAUGUAUCACCACUUUCAUUCUUCAACAAGGUUACUUCAAGAUUUAAGAUGGCAAAUAACUGAAUCAGUUCUACAAAAUAGUACGUCG